AAAUUUAGGAUUAACCCCCCUAAACCGAAG
rnacentral:tRNA from 1 species